rnacentral:rRNA from 1 species
AGCAGUAGCCGCGGGAAUACGGAGGGUGCAAGCGUUAAUCGGAAUUACUGGGCGUAAAGCGCGCGCAGGCGGUUGUGUAAGACAGGUGUGAAAUCCCCGGGCUUAACCUGGGAACUGCGCUUGUGACUGCACAGCUAGAGUAUGGCAGAGGGGGGUGGAAUUCCACGUGUAGCAGUGAAAUGCGUAGAGAUGUGGAGGAACACCGAUGGCGAAGGCAGCCCCCUGGGCCAAUACUGACGCUCAUGCACGAAAGCGUGGGGAGCAAACAGGAUUAGAUACCCCCGUAGUCCCUGUCUCUUAUAC